AGAAAUGAUGAACGUUAGAUUUUUUACAUUUAGUAAAAUGCUACAAAUGUAGUUUUUAGAAUACUUAGCAUUUUAAAAGGGCAUAUCUGCAUGGUACUUUGUAAACAUUAACUAAUUAAUCUUCUUAAUGUAAGAUGCUAUACUUGAUUUCAGCCCAAAGAAUUGUUAUAUAUUAAUGUUCCAUUUGUAUCCUGCCUAAAACGUGAAACAUUUAGUGACUGUCACAAGUUCUGCAGCUUCACUCUCAUUUUGAUCUUUUCAUAUGGAAAUUGCCAUUGAGACAGAGCUGUCCACCAUCAACAACCCUCAAUAUUUAUGAAGAAUCUCAGCUGUUCAUACUUCAGUAUAAAUGAAGGCAUCUUUGUAAUGACCAGCCUGGUGUUUUAGAAUCUUCUUAUCUUCUCCACUGACCCUGGCAUGGGGCAAACAGGAGGGAAUUUAAAAAGUCCUAGCUAACUUGGAUGAGCACUUUGUCAGUGGAUAACGUCUCUAUCUAGGUCUCAGCACUCCUGGUAUAUUCUGCUCCUCUUUGGACAUAUCAACAGAAAGAAACCUAGAGGUUUACUUGAUCAAGAACCUCAAUGAGUGAUGAUAACAUUUCCUGUUCUCCCAGACGCUUCUAAUUCUUCCUGUUGCCGCCUAUCUUCAACAGAAAAGCAACUGAUCAUGGAAGCAAGCAGGAGGAAUUAAGUUGAUGGAUCAAAGAAGACAUAAUAAUGGUAUUUAGAAAGUAAUGAAAACUAAAUUAUAACAACAACAAC